rnacentral:lncRNA from 1 species
GAGAGCAACCACAACAAAUGCCCUGAAGGAGCCCACCAGCUUCAGGAAGGCAGCAUGAGGAUCAACAGAGCAACAUCCCAGGCUCCAGAUCUCUAGGGAAUCCAUUGCCUGGGCUGUCAUCAACCAAAGUGGAAAUGCCUGUUCAGAGAGCCUGUCCCUGCUUUGGCAAUGCUCUUCAGCACGAGUGGAGAGGAAGUGGGAUUUCAUACAGCUUAGGAGGCUGGAGCUCACCACGCUUUGGAGCAUGGGUCUUUUAUUUGUCCUCACCCUGCAGGUGCGAGUGUUCACAGGCCAGACCCUCACUGGUAUGAACUGCCCCAGGCUCCCAGAGCUCCCUCCUCUGAGCCAGCCCAUCUGAGCAGGCUUGUGGUAUUCAGAGAUGCAGGCACAGGCCAUGCUGAGGCCAAGCUGGUCUCAGGGUUAGGAGUGGGAACUGGAAGUGCAGCAGAAUCCUUUUUCCCCAGGUUAUGGUACCAGGAGGAAUGGAUCAACCAUGGCAUGCGAAGAUGCCUCAACAAACAGCAGAUGCUGUUUUGUUCAAGAAGGAAUGCCAUGGCUGUACAGCCUGGAAAAUCCUGUGAUGCCUGCAAGAGCUGA